CUUUGGGAGUGUUCUCUAUGAUGAAAACAUAUAUAGACGACAUAUAAUGACUGACAGGGAUGGAGUUAAAUCUUUUUCCCUGAAGUGGAAAGCUGCAACAGGUUUUUUUUUUUCCCCUCACAGCAGGGCCUGUUAAACAUCCCAAUAAUGUGGGGAAUAUUAUUGGGCUCAGCUGAGACAAAUUACUAACUUUAACAAAAAUCACAACAGCUGGGCCUAUAAAAGGGAAGAGUGGAUAAGUCUUUUCUUUCCUGGGUUUGGUUAAGUUUUGGAAACAUAAAGAUUUGGUUUCAAACUUUUUCCAUGCUUGUGCCAGUUACAUUUUUCUGGACUCCCAUAUUUAAUGAGUAGAGUAUAAUUCAUCAAAAUACAUAAGAGGCUGAAUUGCAUUGCUUGGUGCCAACACAUUGCACAGUGUAAAAUAUGGUGGUAUAUAGAAAUCAAGCCGAGCAACAAUGGACCUUGAGUUUCCAAGGAUAAGAGUUUUUAGCAUGCAGUGAGCCAACACUCUGUGAUCAUCCAGAUCUCUGUGGACCACAGCUUGGGAACAGUUCUCCUAUGGCACCUGUGAGAAUGAAGCAGCGUUAUUUACUUAUGAUUAUGGAGAGGUUAAGAUGCAUCAUCACUCUUAAAAAAAACAAAAAAACAAAAAAACCCCACAGAUUAAAGAUCCUCUGAGGAAAGCCAUUGUGUAAAUGGAUAGGAUUACAAUCCCACUGAAGUUAGUGAGUGAGGAAAAAAAUCUCGGGUUUAUUUCUAGUCCUAAAUUCAAGGUAAAAGGAAAGUUUUCAGAACUACUCUUCUACUACUUGUGGACUAAUAUCUUUAUUAGAAGCAGGAUUAGCGAGGAAUAUUUCUCUUUGCUACUACAAGACUUCUCAUCUCAAUUGUAAACCUCAUUUAUACUGAAACUCUACCCAACCUCAUAAAUCCUCAACUCAUAUGUGCCUCAUUACAAAUAAAACUAUUCCCUACACAGAA